rnacentral:lncRNA from 1 species
AUGUCUCUUUCAAAUGUCAUGUUUUCUGUUUACAAAGAAAGGAAAAGACCACAGCAGGUGGAUUUGACAGCAGUAGGAAUGAACAAGAGGACAACUCAAUACCCAGGUAACCUGUCUUGGGACCAAACAUGUAACCUUUAUUCCUUUUUUCUUCAAAAUCUGAUUAAAACUGUCUUGGAUGUGCAAUUCAGUUGUUAUUUGUAUGUGCUACUGUAGGGUCAUAGAGUUAUCCAGCACCCAAGAUUUUUGUGGUGAAGCCCAGUUUGGGUGCUUGAAUUUUGCAGACCUCUAAAAAGCUUCUAUUUCUUUCCUUCUUUAUGUAUUAUUUUGCCUACUUAUAAUCUAUAUACUGCAGGAGCAAAGAGAUUGUUUUGAUCUUAUAUUCAUUACCAGUCAUUACAACUUCUAGUUCAAGUUUUUGCUUGUACUUUUGCAACUGAAAAAUUCAGGUUCUGUUGAUGACAAACUGCUGGUGCACAAACAUCUGCUACACAAAAGGUUUUAGAGAAAAAAAAAAGAGAGACCUUUUUGCUGGAACAGCCCCCAUUUCAAAGAUUGUUUUCUUGUUCAUGCAUGACAACUAAAGAUAAACAUAUCAGGUAAUUGUCUUAUGCACAUAUGGGGGAAUGUCUGAAUUGUGAAGCUGUGGAGAAUGACUCAAGUUAUGUGACUUUCUGGCCUAACAGCAGUCAACCCUCCAGGGUACAAGAGCUUGGGCUGCAGAAGUUGAAGUUUCAGGUUCUGGUUCAAGCCAUAAAGAAUACAAAUUCUUUGAGUCUGCACCUUUUGCAACACACAACUAUUUGCUAUCCAAGGGUAUUUCACUGAGUAUGAGGGUGAAAGGCAUCUCUGGAGUUCAUCCAGUUCAGCCCCCUGCUCAAACAGAUCCAGCCACAUCAGCAACCUGUUCCUGCAUUUGAUCACACUUUAGGUAAAAACAAAAACUAAAAAAGCAGCAAAAACCCACCAAAAUCCAACCCAGCAAACACAACAAAAAAAUGUCAGAAAACCAAACCAAGACUUAAAUAUUCUACCAGAAUUUCCUAUAUUUCAGCUCAGGCCUGUUUCUUCU